AGUGAACGCUGGCGGUAGGCCUAACACAUGCAAGUCGAACGGCAGCACAGUAAGAGCUUGCUCUUACGGGUGGCGAGUGGCGGACGGGUGAGGUAUACAUCGGAAUCUACUUUUUCGUGGGGGAUAACGUAGGGAAACUUACGCUAAUACCGCAUACGACCUACGGGUGAAAGCAGGGGAUCUUCGGACCUUGCGCGAUUGAAUGAGCCGAUGUCGGAUUAGAUAGUUGGCGGGGUAAAGGCCCACCAAGGCGACGAUCCGUAGCUGGUCUGAGAGGAUGAUAAGCCACACGGGAACUGAGACACGGUCCAGACUCCUAAGGGAGGCAGCAGUGGGGAAUAUUGGACAAUGGGCGCAAGCCUGAUACAGCCAUACCGCGUGGGUGAAGAAGGCCUUCGGGUUGUAAAGACCUUUUGUGGGGAAAGAAAAGCAGCAGGUUAAUACCCCGCGGUUCUGACGGUACCCAAAGAAUAAGCACCGGCUAACUUCGUG
rnacentral:rRNA from 1 species